UCUAUUUAUACCAACUUCAGAGUUCUAUGUUGCCAUGAUUGAUCAGGAUAUAUAUAUAUAUAUAUAUAUAUAUAUAUAUAUAUAUCCUGAUCAAUCAUGGCAACAUAGAACUCUGAAGUUGGUAUAAAUAGA